rnacentral:rRNA from 1 species
CCGCUAGCCUAACGUGAAAAUGGGUUAAACCCUUCGACGUAGACAACUACUCACCAAUAUGUUACCACCAGGAAUACUCGAUUAACAAGAUGUGAAGAAUGAACCACAUCGAACAAUAUACCCAGCACUCACCCUUGAAUCAAAGGCAGACCCAUACGCAGGAACCUAACAACAACGUAUAAGUCGAGGACAACGUCGACGAUGACGACAAAAGAACUAAAUGGGAUAACCAGUUCCUUCGAAAAGACUACCAUACGGAAAUCCUUAGAGACCAUGAAAGUUGAAAUACUAACAUAAGGUCCGUCUCGUGUUGUAGGAAUACGUAGGUAAGGUGUACAAUCCACAUCGACCACAUAAGCCGCCAAGGGAUAAGUCACGAUACGUACCAAGGAACCAUUGGAGAUCAAACCAGUCCCUUUGAUGACUUUUACUUAGACGAUUACUCCCAAUGUUUAAACCAGUUCUCCUUCUUUGAAUAUUAUAACACCGACGAGUACCAAUAAAACCGGCUAAUUAGAAGGUUAUACGAUCAAAGUUGUUGAGAGCAAGAAAUGUGAAGAAGAACCGACGAACCGG